UGGGGAAUAUUGGACAAUGGGCGCAAGCCUGAUCCAGCCAUGCCGCGUGAGUGAUGAAGGCCUUAGGGUUGUAAAGCUCUUUCGGCGGGGACGAUAAUGACGGUACCCGCAGAAGAAGCCCCGGCUAACUUCGUGCCAGCAGCCGCGGUAAUACGAAGGGGGCUAGCGUUGCUCGGAAUCACUGGGCGUAAAGGGCGCGUAGGCGGACAUUUAAGUCGGGGGUGAAAGCCCAGGGCUCAACCCUGGAAUUGCCUCCGAUACUGGGUGUCUCGAGACCGGAAGAGGUGAGUGGAACUGCGAGUGUAGAGGUGAAAUUCGUAGAUAUUCGCAAGAACACCAGUGGCGAAGGCGGCUCACUGGUCCGGUUCUGACGCUGAGGCGCGAAAGCGUGGGGAGCAAACAGGAUUAGAUACCCUGGUAGUCCACGCCGUAAACGAUGGAUGCUAGCCGUUGGCAGGCUUGCCUGUCAGUGGCGCAGCUAACGCUUUAA
rnacentral:rRNA from 1 species